rnacentral:lncRNA from 10 species
AUUUACUGCAACCUCAGGACAAGAUUGACCUCGGAAAGGCUUUGGGAACACUUUAGAAAACAUCUCUUCCUCCCACUGAAAGGUUCACAACUAUUGUUUUCCUCUUCUGACUCAUCUUUGAAUCAGUAAAUUAAAUAUGUAUAACUUGUGAAGAUUUCAUUUUUAUUAAGGCAAGGUGCUUUGCUGAGCAAUGUCAAGAUUUAGAAGUGUACAGCUCUCCUUUUCUCCCUUCUCAAUGAUUUUAUUUCCUGUAGUUUGUAGGAGGACUUUCAGAGAGCUGUUCUCUUUAUCCUUCUCUGUGGCUCUGGCUCUUUUCUGUAUCAUAGAGAAGUUAAAAAGAGUUGAUUAUCAUCUACUCUCCUAGGGUGGUCAAGACUUGAGGAUUCAGAGGCUGUUUCUCAAUUUAAGUCUCUAAGAAUAUGCCCUUCAGCCUUCUUACCUUGACUUCUGGAACUUUAUUGGUGAAAAAAAACUACGGCAUGACUCUGACAAUCCUUUGAAGUCAUGAAUAUACAAGAGCAUGAAUAAGAGAAGAAAAGAUGGAAGAUAAAAAGCAGAAGGAUGCAGAGCAUAUCAAUAGCUGGGACCUGAAUUAGCACCAUAUGGAGCAGAGUUCUCUUCCAGCUAACCAAGGGCACUUCAUCACCAAAGCAACAAGAUGUGGAGCAUGAGCAGUUCAACCUUUGAAGAUAACUCAGACUAAUUUGGCCAGCCUCUCCGUCUGAGGGUCUGAGAUCAUAAGAAGGUUUGGGAAAAGAGAAAGUUGUCAUUAAAUUGACAUCAAACAACCAGAAGACAACUUGGGAAAAAGCAGGAAUUUAUGUCCUUCAGCUUUUGCUAAGAUAUUCAUGCCAUGAUAUUUGGCCUAUAUUCCCUUCCAAUUGAGGACCUCUUCUCAUGGAGAAAAAAGUUAAGAACAAGAGAAGAAAACUGCCUUGCUCAAGUACACAUAGGAUAAAACUAAGUGACUGAGCUGGAAUACCAACAGCAGCCUAAUAACUUUAAUUCAGUGAUUUUUCCACCAAAGACUCAACAGCAACUGAUAAAAAAAAAAGGCUGUAUGAAGACCCAGAAACCUUCGGACCUGAGAGAAAAUUAAUUUAUGUUGUUAAAGUCACCUAGUCUGUGGUGUUCUAUUGUAGCAGUUUAAGCUGACUAAUAGACUUACAAAGAUCUUUGUGGUAGCAAAAUCUCAGUUCAGUGAGCAAACUCUGUGUGAUCAGCUGUAUUUUCUCAGGCAAAAUGAUUCAGUGUGACUUGUCUCCUCUUCCUGCCUCAUUUCCUAGUCUGGAAUCAGACAGACACUGCCAAGAUCUCUUUACUUAAUUGGCUCAGAACUGAAACACAGAGUAUCUAGGGGAGUUAAGAGGAAAGCCUGGGGGAUGUAAAGAAAGAGUCACUUUCUGCCCCUGUGUCUCUGCUCAUGAAGGAGGAGGGGUCAACUUUUCAGGUGGUUGGGAAGAUGCCCAGGAAGGACAUAACUGGAAUCUGAAAUUUCUUAAAAAUGGCCAUAUCCUUGAAUGUUGAAAACCUCAGAGAGAGACCCAGAAGAUAUUUCAGGUCUAUGAACACCCUAUAUUUGUCACUGAUAUUAGACAACCUACCCUAGCAUAGUUUCCUAGCCAACCGGAAGAGAUAAUAUGGAACCCACAGGAAUAUUUUUUUAUAAAAUAGACAAGCAGAUUGACUCAGACCUCUUUCCUCUGGGCCCCUCUCUAGUUUCCAAGAUAGAAUUCUAAGGUGGAUGGAAUGGUGGAUACCUCCAAGUAGGAGACCCCUAGACCCUUCUUACUAUGCUAGCCACAUGAGAGAAGACAAAGAGUAUGAUUCUACAAAACUAAACGUUAAAAAGAAGAAUCAGAUGGAUUACUCUUCAUGACCACAGAAGACUUUUUACCUUUUCACAGAUCACAUGGUAUGUGAAAGGGUUAGUCUUUUAGCUUUGUGGCAUAAUUUUAGCACAGCUUGUCUUUGGUAUGAGUAGUUAGUAUUGUAAUAUAGAACACAUGUUAACAUUAUGCACUGAAAGAGUAAUAAUAUUGUAUUAGUCUGUUCUCACAUUGAUAUAAAGAACUACCUCAGACUGGAUAAUUUAUAAAGAAAAGAGAUUUAAUUGACUCACAAUUCCACAGGCUGUACAGGAAACAUGGCUGAGGAGGCCUAAGGAAACUUACAGUCACGGCAGAACACAAAUGGGAAGUAGGCAUGUCUUACAUGGCCAGAGAAGAAGGAAGAGAGAGAAGGACAAAGUGCUACACACUUUUAAACAAUCAGCUCUCAUGAGAACUUACUCACUACCACGAGAACAGCAAGGGAGAAGUCCGCCCCCAUGAUCCAAUCACCUUACAACAGGCCCCUCCUCCAAUAUUGGGGAUUACAAUUGGACAUUAGACUUGGGCAGGGACAUGAAUCCAAACCAUAUCAAAUAUUGUAUUGAGAUGGUUCAGUUCACCUAUGUGCUGAUCAUUUUGCCAUAGUGUCUUACAUAAGCCAUAGAAAAUUCCAGGAUAUUGUGGCUCUCUGCUAUUUUUGCAUGCUAACAUUCAUUCAUUCUGACCCUGUUUUAAAAACCUCAGUUUCCUUCUGGGAAGCUAUCUCUUUUCCACUUUGUUCUUUAACUUUCUGUGGGUGGAUGGUAGAAGUGAAGCAUGAGACAAGUCUGAGCCAAUCAGCAGAUCAUAAACAAUAUGGAUGAUGAAGGUAUUUUCCCUGAAACUUCUCAGGAGGAAGCACUCCUAUUUUCCUCUGUGCCUGAACUGAGAUAUACACCUAAGAAUUGCUGGUUUGGGUUGAUUAUCUAAGAGAAUAAACUGCUUAAAAUUAGUCAGAAAAGGGUAAAGUGAGGCUACAAAGUAAAGAGAGAAAUUGGAUCCAGGCAAUGUUGUUUGAAUCCUGGAUCAAGCCUCAUCUGAAUUCAAUGUCUAUCUUUGAUCUGUUCAGUUAUGUAACAUUUUUUAGAAAGUCCGAUUAAGCCAGUGUAGGCCAGGUCUUUGGCAUUUGCAACAGAAUCCUCACUGCAGCAUUUCAUGUUACACGUGAGUCCCUGAAUCUUAUGGAAGUUAAAUAAUUUAACCUAAAGCAAUAUUUAUAUUAAGUAACAGAAAUGCUAAACCCCAUACACAAACACUUGGAGAACUUGGAUGCAAUACUCCCCAUGUCUGAGCUGAAGAUAAGAUAUUUUACCAUGAACUGGCUCAUGGAAGCAAUGAAAAGAAACACAUUUUGAAGAACAUUGGUCUGACAUUUACUUUUGUUUUUCACAUAAUGAGUACAUGUCAAAGUAGGAUUCCAUCCUGAGUCUCACCAACUCUAUAGCAAAUACCCUACUGUAUUUUUUUAUGUAACAGAAGUAAGAAUAACAUUCUAUGUCACAGAGAAAUUGAUUAUUUCUCAAUAAAGCCAAUAUAAGAACAGGUGAAGCAUAGGGGGAAAGGUUAGAAUUGCUCUAUGAUUAAAGUUUGUUGGCCUGAAACAGACAUGCUAUAGAAAGUUGUGAGAGCUGCCUUCAGGAAUGUGUGACAUAGAUCCUCCUUCCUUAAACCACCAGGAAACAGACAAAGAGACUGGUUAUGGAAAGAAUCUGGGCCUUGGUGAGAGAUAGUAGAAAGGACGUGGCCAUUGGUAUUAAUUGAAAUAUAUAACAUGUCUUCCUAAGCUAUUUUCUCCCCAAAUAUGUUCCUUGCAGUACUGCUGUUUGACAUGCUCUCUAAACAUAUUUUUUAUUGUAAUCCACAGAAAUUGACUAUAUAAAGGAAAAGAGGAAGGUAUUGAGGGACAGUCAUUAGCACCUAAGUUGACAGUGGGCUGAGGUUCUGCCUUGGCUAAUGGCCAGAUCCAAUAGUGGCUAGAAGCACUAUAAGGUCACUGCCGAACAGCCUUGUGAGUGGGAAGCUACUGCCUGCCACUGGAUACUAACUACCACUACUACCACUCAGUGGUCAUCAGAUGUUGUCAGCACUGCAGAGGAAAAUUCUAUAUUGUCCUGCUUGCUUUCUUUUAUCAUUGGUUCCCGAUUCAGAGUUUCUUGUAGGAGAAUCCUAUUGGCCAAGCUUAAGUCACUUCACCAAAAUCCAACUGCUUUUUCUCGAGGAAAAAAAAAAAUGUCAGGUAUUUUUGGCUUCUAUGAUGUGAGGAAGAUCUUUAAUCCAUGUAUAGAUUUACCCCAAAUUAUCUUCUUUAAACAUAAAAAUGAGCAAGUGAGUAAGCAACAAAUAUCUGCUCCACCCAGAAAAAUGUUCUUUAGAAAACAAACAAAAAGCACAAAAAAUGGGAAGUACUGUUUACCAUAAUUUUAUCUUGGAGAUUCACAAUUUAUUUAAGUGGUCAAAAUCUCUGAGAAUUCUUACUGCACAACAAACAAAAAACCCUGUUAUUUUUAGAAUUUGUCAUUCAACAAACUUAUUUGAACAUGAUACCUUUGAUUAUAGAAUAUUUGAAUAUCUCUCGUAUUUUUCCUCAAGUUGUAAUUUGAGAAAAGUUGUCUUGAGCCUUCUCCAGAUGUCUUAUCUAUGUCCUCCCCCAGCCUUUUAUAAACAUACCCCGAGAUGGCAAACUAAAUGCAGGAGCUAAAAAGUCUCAUGUUCCCCUUUCAAACUAUGGUUAUAUUUAAUACCAGAGUCUUUUAGAAUCCAUUCACAGGACUUGAAUCCUGGAUCUGAGUUUGCAAAAGAAAUGAAGCUAAUGAAAGACAAGGAACUUCUGGUCUUAGUUGAGAUGCAAAAAGAAUUUCAAGGAGAAGUCAAGGAACAAAAAACAAUGGCCAAAAUCAUGGUGAGUAAAUUAUAUCCUUUACCCUUGUGAAGAGACUUCAGCCUACAACCACAUUUGUGUCCUCCUCAAUUAUACUGUCAAUAUCUCAAGUCUAAACCCAUGCACACAUUUCUGUUUUCUUUGAAACAUUCCCUCUUCUGCUUGCUCUGGCUGAUUUCUUUUCAUCUUUCAUCCUAAAUAGCUCUUCCUCACGGAUGACUUUACUUGCUUUCCCCACCAACUGAAUUUGAAAUCACUGUUAUGUGCUCCCAUGAUACCUUUGUAAGUUCCCACUUAACUAAUAUCUUACAUUAUGCGAUUGAUCAUUUGAUUGUGUCUCCACAGGAUGGGUUAUAAAAGAAAAAAACUAUUUAUCUGUUUUAUUCCUUCUUUGUAUAGAACUCCAUGAAUUUCAUCCACCAUAUAAUAAGGUAGAUGAUAUUCAUUUCCCACCAGGUGAAAGCUCUCAAGUCUGGAAGUCCUAAAUCAAGCUGAGGGCUGAGCCACGCUUCUUCCAAAGCUUCCAGGAGAGGACCCUUCUUUGCCUCUUCCAGCUUCUGGAAAACAUUUCCAUCUGGCUUUCCUCUGUCUGACUUAAACAAUGAUUUUCCAUCCUACCUGAACAUUAUAAUCAUCUGGAAGAGUUUUUUAAAAUACAGAUGCUAUUGCUACACCCAUGGAGCUUGUGUCUUACCAUCUGAUAUGGUUUGGCUGUGUCCGCACUCAACUCUCAUCAUGAAUUGUAGUUCCCGUAAUCCCCAUGUGUCAUGGGAGAGGCCUAGUGGAAGGUAAUUGAAUUAUGGGGAAGGUUACCUCCAUGCUGCUGUUCUCAUGAUAGUGAGUGAGUUCUCAAGGGAUCUGACGGUUUUAUAAGGGGCUUUUCCCUCUUUGCUCUGCACUUCUGCCUGCUCCCACCACAUAAAGAAAGAUAUCUUUGCUUCCCCUUCCGCCAUGAGUGUAAGUUUCCUGAGGCCUCCCCCGCCAUGCUGAACUGUGAGUCAGUUAAACUCUUUCCUUUAUAAAUUACCUAGUCUAUGGUAUGUCUUUAUUAGCAGCAUAAGAAUGGACUAAUACAGCAUCUGUGAUUCUAUUCCAGUUUAGGAUGAGAUCCCCUGGUCUCUAAGAUGCUUCAAGAUAGCAGAUCCAGCAUUAACUCCUUCAAGUGUGAAAUCCUGACAG